rnacentral:lncRNA from 1 species
AUGGUGGAUGGUUGGCCCCGGUGUGUCCAAACCAAGAUCUCCCCAAGACGUCCUUCUUGCAACGAUGUGCAAUGUCCCAAAGGAACCACGUGCAAGAUACUAUUUGGUUGGCCUCAGUGCGUCCACAGACAACCAUCGUGCAACGAUAUCCAGUGCCAGAAGGGAAGCGUAUGCCAGAUCGUAGAUGGUUGGCCACGGUGUGUUCAGAGACAACCGACUUGUAAGGACAUCCAGUGCCCUAAAGGGACUACGUGCUCUGUGUUCAAUGGAUGGCCCCAAUGCGUCCAAAAUCGUCCUUCCUGCAGUGACAUCCAGUGCCAGAAGGGAACCGUGUGCCAGACGGUUGAUGGUUGGCCCCGUUGUGUGCAAACCAAGACCACCCUGAGGCUACCAUCCUGCAACAACAUCCACUGCCCCAAAGGGACCUCAUGCAAGAUGCUGCAGGGGUGGCCCCAGUGCGUCCACAGCCAACCCUCCUGCAGUGACGUCCACUGCCCCAAGGGGACAACGUGCAAUAUUGUCAACGGUUGGCCCCAGUGCGUCCCAAACCGACCUUCUUGCAGCAACAUCCAGUGCCAGAAGGGAACCACGUGCCAGAUGGUGGAUGGUUGGCCCCGUUGUGUGCAAAUCAAGACCUCCAUUCGGAGACCUUCUUGCAGUGACCUCCAGUGUCCCAAAGGGAGCAUCUGCAAGAUAACAGACAACUGGCCGCACUGCGUCUACACCCAACCCUCUUGCAAUGACAUCCAGUGUCGGAAGGGAACGACGUGCCAGAUGGUCGAUGGUUGGCCACGGUGUGUGCAAGUCAAGACUUCCAUCAGGAGACCGACUUGUAGGGACGUCCAGUGUUCCAAGGGAUCCCUGUGCAAAAUGCUACAUGGGUGGCCGCAGUGUGUCCACUCCCAGCCCUCCUGUCACGAUGUCCAGUGCCCCAAAGGGACCGUGUGUAAUAUGGUCAACGGUUGGCCUCAAUGUGUCCAAAAUCGUCCCUCCUGCAGUGACAUCCAGUGCCAGAAGGGAACGACGUGCCAGAUGGUGGAUGGUUGGCCCCAGUGCGUCCAAACCAAGACCUCCAUUCGGGGACCUUCCUGCAGGGAUAUUCAGUGUCCCAAAGGGAUCACGUGCAAGAUGCUGCACGGGUGGCCGCAGUGUAUCCAUAGACAACCCUCCUGCAGCGACAUCCAAUGCCAGAAGGGGACCACGUGCCAGAUGGUUGAUGGUUGGCCCCAGUGUGUCCAAACCAAGACCUCCCCAAGACGGCCUUCUUGUAACGAUGUCCACUGUCCCAAAGGGACCACGUGCCAGAUGACAGAUGGGUGGCCACGGUGUGUCCACAGCCAACCUUCCUGCAGUGACAUCCAGUGUCCCAAAGGGACUACAUGCAAUAUUGUCAACGGUUGGCCCCAAUGCGUCCAAAAUCGUCCCUCCUGCAGUGACAUCCAAUGCCAGAAGGGAACCGUGUGCCAGAUGGUUGAUGGUUGGCCCCGAUGUGUGCAAACCAAGACCACCCUGAGGCUACCAUCCUGCAACAACAUCCACUGCCCCAAAGGGACCUCGUGCAAGAUGCUGCAGGGGUGGCCCCAGUGCGUCCACAGCCAACCCUCCUGCAGUGACGUCCACUGCCCCAAGGGGACCACGUGCAAUAUUGUCAACGGUUGGCCCCAAUGUGUCCAAAAUCGUCCCUCCUGCAGUGACAUCCAAUGCCAGAAGGGAACCGUGUGCCAGAUGGUGGAUGGUUGGCCCCAGUGUGUGCAAAUCAAGACCUCCAUCCGUAGACCGUCUUGCAGGGACAUCCAGUGUCCGAAGGGGACCACGUGCAAGUUGAACGAUGCGUGGCCACAGUGCGUCUACACCCAACCCUCCUGCAGUGACAUCCAGUGCCCCAAGGGCACGGCCUGCACGAUGACAGAGGGUUGGCCCCAGUGUCUCCCCAGCCAUCCCCUCUUCCGCUCUGCACCCUGGGGUCACCCUGCUUCUGCCCCCCAAAUUUCCGCUGGGGUCUCCCCCAUCCCCUCGUCCUGCAGUGGUGCCCACUGCGCUGCCACCCCUGCGUCCUGCCAGAAUUUUGCCUGCAAGCCCGGCACCGUUUGCAUGGUGGUGCACGGCCACCCCACGUGCGUCUCCCGACCUUCGUGCAAGAACCUCCACUGCCAAGCGGGGAUGGGCUGCAAGCUCCUCAACGGGUGGCCCCGCUGUGUCCGCAUCCCCUCGUGCGGGGACCUGCAGUGCCCGAGUGGGACGGCGUGCCGGGUGGUGCGAGGCUGGCCCAAGUGCGUGCGGAUGGUGAGGAGCGCGCCCGCGGCAUCUUGCGCCGGCAUCUCCUGCAAAUCCGGCACCGCGUGCCAAGUGGUGGAGGGCGUCCCCCGCUGCGUGCCCCCCAAGCCCACGUGCGACACGGUGCACUGCUCGGAAGGGUCCACGUGCCACGUGGUGGAGGGCUGGCCCAAGUGCGUGCCCAACCAGCCCACCUGCGGCGCCGUCCGCUGCCCCGAGGGCACCACGUGCCAAGUGGAGGGUGGUUGGCCAACGUGCGUGCCCAACAAGCCCUCUUGCAGCACCGUCCGCUGCCCGGCUGGGACCACGUGCCAGAUGGUGGAAGACUGGCCCAAAUGCGUGCCCAACAAACCGACCUGCAAAGAGGUGCAUUGCCCGGUGGGGACGACGUGCCAGAUAGUGGAGGAUUGGCCCAAAUGCGUGCCCAACAAGCCAACUUGCAACGACAUGCAUUGCCCCGCCGGAACGACGUGUAGGGUGGUGGAGGAUUGGCCCAAAUGCGUGCCCAACAAGCCAACUUGCAACGACAUGCAUUGCCCCGCCGGAACGACGUGUAGGGUGGUGGAGGACUGGCCCAAAUGCGUGCCCAGCAAGAUGUCUUGCAAAGAAGUGCGUUGCCCAUCUGGGAGCACGUGCAGGAUGGUGGACGACUGGCCCAAAUGCGUACCCAACGAGCCAUCCUGCAACGACGUGCAUUGCCCGUCCGGAACGACGUGCCAGAUGGUGGAAAACUCACCCAAAUGCGUCCCCGACAAGGCGUCUUGCAACGACGUGCACUGCCCGAAGGGGACGACGUGCAAGGUGGUGGAAUCCUCACCCAGAUGCCUCCCUGUCUCGCAGCCCCCACUCGUCUGCCACGUUUUGGGGCGCUGGCGCUACCGGGCCUUUGAUGGGAAGAGUUAUGGCUUGGCGGGGGCUUGCACCCAGACGUUGGUGAGCACCUGUGGCACCCAGUUGCCCACCCUCCAUGUCACGGCGGGCGGCCAGUUUGGCGCGGGACCGGGCGCCUCCUUCAGCCACGUCACGCUCCGUGGCGAUGGCUUCGAGGUUGUCCUGCACCGAGGCGAGGAGACGAUGGCGAGGGUGAGGAUUUGGCCCUGGGUGGCACACGGGGUGUGA